UGUAAGACUUCAGUGCCUUGCUUCCCCUUUGCCUUCCGCCACGAUUGUAAGUUUCCUGAGGGCUCCCCAGCCAUUUGGAACUCACGGUUAUGGCAAAGGAGCUAUCCUGUACCAACACGGAAGGAGACAGUGGAAAAGGACCCCACAGAAAUGGAGGGAAUGAUAUUGACACAAAAAUGGCAACAAGAUCUAACUCCAGCAUCAAACUGAAGUAACAGCAGCUGCAGCAACUAAGGGCCUCAAAAUUACAGCCUUCAAAGUGCCAUCCAUAGCCUGCCGACUGGUUUAGUAAGCUGAAUGAAUCAGAGUUCUGCAGAGAAAACAGAUUCAAUAGAACCAAUAUACAAAGAGACUCACUGGAAGCUAUUGGAACAAAAUUAUGGAGGCUGAAAAGUUCCGUGAUCUGCUGUCUGCAAGCUGGAGACCCAGGAGAGCCGGUGGUGUAGUUCAGAAGCCUGAGAGCCAGAAAGCUAAUGGUGUAGCUUCCAGUCUGCAUCUAAGGCCGGAGAUCCAAGACGGCUGGGGGCCAGAGCAGAUCGAUAUCCCAGCUCAUACAGUCAAGCAGAUAGCAAAUUUAAUCUUCUUCUGUCUUUUUGUUCUAUACUCACUGCAUUGGAUGAUGCCUGCCACCCGCCCCCUGCCCCAAAUUAGAGAGGACCAUUUGCUUUACUCAGUCCACCAACUUAAAUGCACAUCUCUUCUGGAAACUCCCUCACAGAUGCACCCAUAAAUAAUGGUUAACCACCUAUUUGGGUAUCUUUGACCCAAUCAAGUUGACAAACAAAAUUAACCAUCACAUAUACCCUGAUCCAUAAUCAUUUGCGCUGUGAUUUCCUCUUCGCAACUCUGUAGGCACUUUUCCUUAUAAUCUCUGACAAGCAUUGGCAUGAUUUGGAAACAGCAUUAUAGCCUUUAAAAAGAGCGGAUGUGGAUAAAUAGCCUUUUCUAUUUCCUGUAUUGUUUUUUCCUUUCACAGCACUCCAUUGGCCAGAAAUUUUGACAGCUACAUGGGUUUAAACAUGUUAUGAAUAAAAAUUCCUUUUAGUCCCAGAAAAAUGAGUUUGUAUGUAUCUUCUUGAGCCUGAGGAGGUGAUGAGGGGUAGUGGAAAAAGCUGGAUGAGGAGUGAGUUGAGCUGUGGUCUUGUUUCAAUCCCCACCCCGCCAUCUCUGGACUGUAGGCAAGUCCCAGACUCCCUCCUGUCAUCCUACCCCGCAUUCAUGGAAUAAGAAUGAACUCUUUCACCUCUCAGAUUUUGUCAGGGUCUAGCAUUCUUUGUUUACAUGUAAUAAUGGCUGCUGGAUACUGAGCACUUAUCUGAACCAGACACUUUGUGGGGACCUACAAGGGUCACCCUUUUAAUUUACCCAUCAGAUCUGGAAGGUGAGGGCAUUAUUUACCAGUAAAGAAACUAAGGCUUAACAAGUUAAGCAACUGUCCUAAGGAAGACACCUUCUCUUUGACUGGAUCCUAAUGAAUGGGCUAAUUCAUUUCUGAAGAAGUGGAACAGAGGUUUCAGAACAGAGACAGAGAUCAGCUGGAAGGGUUUCUCAACAAACCUUUUGUUUCUUUUCCUUCCUUUGCUUUAUCUUUCUUAGCCCUCAGGUGGGCAGAAUUGAGUCAACUCUUCUUUUCAUGACUCAUUAGCGACACUCGUCUAUGUAAAGCCCCUCAUAUUAUUUUCAUAUUUUUCCUCUUCAUCCCCUGUAUCACACCCCCCCCGCUAUGUGCACUGCUAUGUGUAUUUAAUCUAGGUCUUUGCAAUCCACUUUCCCUGUAUUUAUUUAGACAAAUAUGCCCUUGAAAAAUAAUGUUAUUUAGUGUCAGUGGUUUUGAUUUACAUAAAUGCUAUGCAGCUUCUAAUCUCAUCCUUUUAUUCUUUUUGCACUCAACACUAUAUUUUGAGAUCCCAUCCGUGUUGUUCUGUGUAAAUAAAUCUUGUUCAUUAUGUGUGAUGAACUCAUAGUAUUCCAUACAUCAUAUCACAUAUUUUCCUUAUCAAUUUCCCUCAUCAACAGUCAUGUAGAUUGCCUUCAGAUCAUUGUUACCACAAACAGUCUGGGAUGUGCAUCUUCUGAUAUGUCUUUGUACCCACUGAUAUUGAAUUAAUUUGAAUUGUAUGCCCAGGAAUUGGAUUGUUGGCUCGCAGUGUGUAUGCAGUCAUAAUUUCACCAGGUUUUGCCAGGUUGCUUUCUAGAAAGGCUGCACCUCUUUAAGCUUCCCCCAGUCAUGUAUGAGGUUUACAACUCCCUAUAUCCUCACUAGCACUUGUUAUGGUCUGACUUUCUAAUUUUUACCAAUCUCUACAUUUUAAAUGGUGUAUCAUUUUUUAUUUCAUUUGUAUUUAUCUGAUUGCCAGUGAGGUAGAACAUUCUUCAUAUAAUUUUUAGCCAUGUGGUUUUCCUCCUUUGAUUGGCCUAGCCAUACCUUUGCCCGUAUUUUUAUUCUUGCUGUUUCCUAACUUUGCUGGUUUGCAGAAUUAUGACUUUCUAAUUUGCCUGAUUACCUCAUAGGGUGAAUUUUUCUCCCCAAAUUCCUGCUUUGAACUUCACUUUCAAUAUUGACUUAACUGCACUA